AGGCCUGUAGGGCGGCACAAGGAGCACUAGCGAGUGCUCACUCACUCGUCGCGCCAGCUCCUGGGUGCAGGGGAAGGUCCGCGCUGGCUGCACGGCCUACAUCCCGGGGGCGGAGAGAGUGAGGAACUGCGACCGCUUCCAAUAGCGUUUUGGUGACAAUACGAAGAAAGCGAAGCAGAUAGGAAGGGUAGGCAAGGGUGGAAGAACUUUCUAGAAAGUAAUGAUGGGAUCGGGGGAAUUGAAGCUCUAGCUAGAAAUGGGUCAUGUUCCUGUGGGAAAGAUAUCCCUCACUGCAAAGCCCUGGGUGGACAGUCCCCGCUCGGCCUCCGGGGUGCGAGGCCAGGGCGGGGCAGGGGCGUGGGGCCCGGGGCUUAACGCUCUCAGGUUGCUGUCUUGAAGCGUGUAAUAAUUUUCUCCCUGAAUUUCUGUUUGAAAGUGCAGUCUGUUGGGACAGUGGCCCACUGCACCAGGGGCUUGGAGCCUCGACUCACACUUGGUGGUGUGCCUCCAGGACGGGGUCUUGACUGUCCACUUCCUGGCCCCUGAUAUGCACACUCCACCUGCAGGGCAGCUGCGAGGUGAAGGGUCUCAGCAUCUAAGGGGGUCUGCACUGUCCGAGAGUGUCCCCCAUCCCAGGAAGCGUGACAUUAAAUAGGUUAAAGAAACAAAAAAAAACCAAACAAACAAAACAAACAAACAAUGUCCUGAUAGGUCUAAAGGGACACCACAGAAGAAGGGGAAAAGCUUUCUGCCCGCUUUCCUGAGCAAGCAAUCCUGCCUUUUGUGUAGCCGGCCCAGUUCGUGCUAAGUGCUGCCCCGGGCCCUGUGCAGACCGCAAAGACAGAGCUGCUUUCCUGGUAGCUGCCUCUCCCCUGCUCCGUCCAUUCACCCAUCCACUCAUCUAUCAGCCGUGCAUGAAGCUCUGAGGUUGGCUGGGUGCAGGUGACCACUGGGGAGUCAAAGCCAGCUAGGGCAUCCGCUGUCCCGGGAGCUGACACGCCCCCACAUGUCACAGUCAGGCUGGGAGCCAAAAUGAUUGUAGUCUCCCUCUGCAAGGAUCCAACCGAGCAUUAAUUCCAAGUUAGGUGUCACACAGGAUAUAAAUCACGGACGAAGCAGAAAACAGGAGUUUGAAAAAAACAGGCCUUUUCUCUAGCUGGGCUGAGAGCUCUGUAUGAGCAGGCUAUUCUUUAAAUUUGACUUUCGUUUCCCAAGGUUAGUAUUUAAUUCUCUUUUAACCACAUCCUUGCAGAAAAGUCUAUUUCUACUGUGGAUUUAAGGAACUGGGAGAGAAGCAAGGCGGCUCCAGGCCUGUGACUUGGCCCUCAGAGCGGACGGUAUUUCCCGAGCCCUCCCAGGCCUGGGACAGUGGCGGCAGCACGAAGGGGUGUCCCUUCUCCAGGGUGUCCCUUCUCCAGGGUGUCCCUUCUCCAGGGAAACUCAGCUCAAGGGAGCCCCAAGCCCAGGCCUAAGAUGCUUAGAACCAGAUCGCCCUGGAAGAAAAGCCACCGCCCCAUCUGCCACCCCUUGGACUUCCUGGUGCCCUCGACGCGCACACAGACGACCCCCUGGGCUGUUCGCUCCGUGCUGGAACUCCCCCAUUCCUUCUGGGGUUGCAUCUGGAAUGGACAGCAUUCUGGAGCCUUGCGGGGGGGGGGGCGGCUAUGGGGACAGGUGCCCUUAGGAGGUGAGCGACUUGAUUAAAGAAAGCCACACAGCCGCCAAGGACGGACAUCUGGACAUCUGGCCUCCUGACCCGCAGGCCGGGCCCGUCCCCUGCUGCUUUCCUGGUCCUGUCGUUUGUCCUAGACGGAACCCACUGAGCAGGCACCGCCACCCCCAAAUCGUCCUUUGUCGUUGUCUGAUUUGCACCGUCUCCUGCCACCUCGGGGCCUCUCUGCCCGCAGCACGUGUCGACCCCAUGCUUGUCCGCAGGCUCACCGGUCUGCGCUCAGGCCAGGAGGGGCCACGUCGCUGGACAGACGGUGGCCUGUGCUCCUCAUCCACCUGCAGGAGCAGGUUGGAGGUGAGUGGAGGCCGCGUGGCAAGGAGUGAGCCUGAGGCAGGAGUCAAACAGCCCGGUCCCUAGGAAGACCAGAAGGCGUGACCGGACCCCAGCUGGGCGGACAGAGGCACCGGGAGCAAACGGAGUGGGCGGGGAGCAAGCGUGACACAUGCUGUGUGGACAUUGAUCACAGUGCCCGUUUCCGUUAGGGCCGCCCAUCACGAGGCUUCUUGAGAGCAGUGGAUUUGUCUUAACAUGUUAGAAAAACUAUUUCAAAAAAAUGACGCAAAUUUCAAAAAACAUCUUUAUGGAGAGAAACAGGUUCGGAUGUUUGCCGAGGCACGGCACGGCCGCAGGACAUUGUCAUGCCACUUCUUCGAGUCCUGGGGAGGACAAAUGUCUGCUCAGUGCUGUUACCAUGUGUGCUCGUCUGAAACACGCAGAGUCCCACGGUGCUCAGGUUAUAUAAAAAAUCAUAUUUUUACAGGAAACAUGAGUUAAUCCUGAGCUCAACGGGAGGAAAACAGACAGCUAGGGGUAGUGAAUCACUCAUUAAAAAUUAAGCGAAUCCACCCACAACGGGAAACAGCGUAACAGAAUGUCAGUGUUGGCUUCACGCUGGAAGGCGGCCAAAAACGAGUCUUGGAAAUAGCGCUGCCUCUGAAUUUGAUCUUGGCCCGAUUGUGUGCCUUUAGGACCCGACUCCUUCUCCGCCACGUACACUCUCCGGCCUGUCGAGGGGAGCAGAGUGGCCCUGGGGGUUUCCAUGGGUUCUGCCCAGACGAAGUGCUCUGCCUUCUCAAUGAAUCACUUCCUCAGGUGAAACGAACCUUCGCGCACCCCCCAGAACCAUCUGCUGGAACGGAUCUCUGGGGGGCCAAAUACCUUUGUCUUAGUAACUGUCGUUUCUGCUGACGUUUUAACAUCGAAGCCCAUGAAGUCCCAGCUUCUGCUUCCUGCACAUAAGCAACACCACGGGAAGAAAAAGGCCGCUUUGGAAAAUAUUUUUCCAUUAAUGAAACCCUCCUUGAUACGUUCCUGCUUCUUUUAGAAGGCGCCGAGGUGCUCGGAACACAGGGAUUUCUGACGUCAACUCAAGACUCAGAGAAACAUCGCUCCAGACCACUUGAAGAGACCUCUAAAAAAUUCUCACCCGCCUUUUACUUUUCGGACGAAGGAGCUGUGACUCAGGCCAUGUCUAAAUCAUUCAGCUUCCUACAACUCCACUCCGUCUCUGUCUGUUCCUUUCCUAGGCUCCUGCGCGGAGCGUAGGAGAAACCGCACAGUCCUGCGAGAAACCGCACGGUCCUGAGCCCGCAGGAGACAGCUGAUAAACGCCGGGUGAGCAAAUGGACAAACUACUGGCCGCGUCGAAAGGAAAUCUGGCAAGUGUGUGAGCAGAGAUUAGGAGCUGGAUUCGCUCGGCAGAUAACACACGGAAAUAGUUCGGGACCCCGGCCAAGAUCAACUCGAGUGAUCAGAAAACCGGUCCAAAAUGUCUGCGCCUUCCCUUCGGAGGUGGCGAUGAGAGCUGACUGCUUUUGGGGAGCUGGGGGGACACUGGACGGUUGGGAGUCCCUUCCCGCCCUCCUGGCAGCUGCCUUCUCCAAGCCUGCCUGGGCUCUGCUUCCUCAUCGUCAAGGUGGAGGUGAGCGUGCACACCGAGACCACCUCCGGGUACCCCUGAGGUCCAACGGGAUAGUGAACUUGAGUGUGCUUCGUGAACUGUAAAGCGCCCUACGUGCAUGGGCAUUAUCAUAAAUGCAGUUUAUGUUUUCAGCAUAAGGCAUUUAAGUUCUGUGGCAAAACAGGAAAUAGGUCAAGUCCUGUUUCUGUGACUAAUAAUUUCCAGCAACAUGACAUUUUUAAAAAAUUAAUUUCUCUGCACCAACACGGUAACGUGGUAGCUUUAAAAAUAAAAAAAGCGUAUCUAUAGUGCCCGAACACAAAAUUACAUCAUUCUAAUAGCAGAUCAAUCUCGGUAGAGUUGCUAGAAAUCCGUCAACGUAUUUUUAACCAAUCGUUAGAAUUCAACCAGCCCCCAUCAUAAAAUGCAUGUUUUGUUUUUUGCUUACGCUCAUUUCUAUUAGAAAUAAGGAAGGAAGCUACUCAGAGAGCCUAUUAUGUGACUGGUUUCUGUCUGGCAGUUCCACGGGAAUCUUCCCUUGUCCCACAUUUUAAACACUGGAUACUAAAGUCUGCAUCAUAAUAAAUAGUCUUAAAAAGUCA